rnacentral:rRNA from 1 species
CAAGUCAGAUGUGAGAUCCCGGGGCUCAACCCCGGAACUGCAUUUGAAACUGUAGCCCUUGAGUAUCGGAGAGGCAAGCGGAAUUCCUAGUGUAGCGGUGAAAUGCGUAGAUAUUAGGAGGAACACCAGUGGCGAAGGCGGCUUGCUGGACGACAACUGACGCUGAGGCGCGAAAGCGUGGGGAGCAAACAGGAUUAGAUACCCUGGUAGUCCACGCUGUAAACGAUGAAUACUAGGUGUGGGAGGACUGACCCCUUCCGUGCCGCAGUUAACACAAUAAGUAUUCCACCUGGGGAGUACGACCGCAAGGUUGAAACUCAAAGGAAUUGACGGGGGCCCGCACAAGCAGUGGAUUAUGUGGUUUAAUUCGACGCAACGCGAAGAACCUUACCAGGAUUUGACAUCCAACUAACGAAGUAGAGAUACAUUAGGUGCCCUUCGGGGAAAGUUGAGACAGGUGGUGCAUGGUUGUCGUCAGCUCGUGUCGUGAGAUGUUGGGUUAAGUCCCGCAACGAGCGCAACCCCUAUUGUUAGUUGCUACGCAAGAGCACUCUAGCGAGACUGCCGUUGACAAAACGGAGGAAGGCGGGGACGACGUCAAAUCAUCAUGCCCUUUAUGUCCUGGGCUACACACGUAAUACAAUGGCCGUCAACAAAGGGAAGCAAGAUCGCGAGAUGGAGCAAAUCCCCAAAAACGGUCUCAGUUCGGAUUGCAGGCUGCAACUCGCCUGCAUGAAGCUGGAAUUGCU